CCAACAUACCAACCACGCCACUAUUGGUUGGGUUCACCACAACAACAUCAUCUUCACUGUAACGUCAACUGCCAACUCCCAUACAAAAUGAAUACACUGUUAAAAUUUCAAUAUCUCAACAAUCAUGUCAAGAGUGGCUUUUAAAUUAUAUAUCUAUUGUAGUGGGGCAUCCACUGCAGCACUAGGAAUAAUGGCUGUUCUGUGCCGAACGGACUUAAUUAAUGGGGGAUUGGCAACAGGUCAGGUAUACCGGAAUGUAUGUAUGUACAGGGAGUUGAGCAGAAGAGAAUAGUGAAGAAGAGAUGAGCUUGAUCCUUGAUUUUUUUGAUUCUUUUUUGUUUGAUUUGUUUUAGCAUAGCUCUGAUAGCUGCCAGUCACUUACUUGAUCUAUUGCUGGUGCACCACACUACCCUACCUAGCAAGCCCUGCUCAUCCCAGCUGAGCAAUAUAGCUUACAUGUUUCC
rnacentral:sRNA from 1 species